rnacentral:lncRNA from 1 species
UCGAGCUUAAUUUCUUUUUUAUCCAUAAGAGAUUUAUCCAACAGUCUCCCUAACUCACAGAUCCUAUACUCAGCUUUCUUGAGCUCUUCCUUCCUGGUUCGGAUCACUGAUGUGGAACCUAAUAGGAUAUGAUCAAGAUCAUCUUUCUGGUCUUCCAAUAGCCGGGCUCUCUUGUUGCUAUCCUCAAGUUCUUGGGCUUUUCCCUUACGUUCCUCUUUCAAAUUCU